rnacentral:lncRNA from 1 species
AUUGCACUUUUGCUGUUAACAAUUUACUCAAUCUACAGCUUUAAUUAAGUAUCCCUUAAAUUAGUCAUUGAAUAUUUAGGGGAAAAUAUUCAAUAAGUAUAUCUAUAAAGUUAGUUGAAUUAUAUCACAUACAUAAUAGCAGUUCUACAGAGUACAAUUUCAAUUUCAUACCGGAAUACGGUACGUUUCUUAACUCAAACUGUAUAUGAUUUAUUUAUUGAAGCUUCACUGAACCGUG